CCAACAAUAAUUUACUUAUUUCAUCAAUACUUUUACAACCUAAAUGACUCUCAUUAAACAUCCUAGGUACAUGCCAUUAUCAAUACUCAACAUACUUUACCUCAUUGAAUUCGAGAUCGGCCUGGGAUGCUGAUUCAACAGUCUAGCCUUAACUUAACCUGCGCACGGAAACAAAUUGUACGCUGAGUAUACACUCAGUGGUAUUUCUAUAAUCUGAACACUUAAACAAUUAUAAAACUUAUUAUUUUAUAUAUAUAUCGAACUAUUCAAACUCAAUGAGUAUUCAAACAUUCACUUUCCAACCAAUGUUUUGGUUUACUUUAAAUUUCAAAUCAUUUAUUAAUUUCAAUAGCAAUUAAUCAAUCAGUAAUGUUCAUUAACAAUCAGAAUAAUUAUUUAUUCAGUAACAGUCAGUUAUUCGGUAGCAAUCAAUUAUUCAAUAAUAACCAGUUAUUCAGUAUCGAUCAAUUGAUCGGUUAUCCAGUAAUAGUCAAUUAUUUAGUAAAAUCAGGUAUUCAGUAACAACUAAGUUAUUCAGUAACAGUCAUUCAUUCAGUGACAAUCAGUUAUUCAGUAAUGAUCAAUUAUUCAGUAAUAUUCAGUUAUUCAGUAACAGUCUAAUAUCCAGUAACAGUCAAUUAUCCGGUAACAGUUAAUUAUUCAGUAAUAAUCAGUUAUUUUAUACCUUUAUUUACCCCUAUUAACAUGACUCGGACUUAGACGGAUACACGGAUCCAACCAACACACCAGUACGGCACAUAGUGCCUCAUCGGCCGAAGCCGGAACAGUAACAGUAACAGUAGCAGUACGGUACACAGAGCACCUCAUCGGAACAAAUUCGAAACAGUAACAGUAACGGUAACAGUAACAAUAUCCGACACACAAAGUGCUGAAUCGGUAACAGUAACGGUAACAGUAAUAGUAGUCGGUACAUAAGUGCCUAAUUAGUAAGCCGGCAAAACCCGUACUCUUCCAUAUCCUAUGGCAUGCCAGCUAUAUCCGACUAGUCCGACUAGUUAAUAGGGUAUUUAAUUCAUUUUUCAGUUUUCAAUUAAUUCAUAUUUUAAUCAAUUAACUAUAUAUUUUCAAUUCAAUAUAAUUCAAUUCACUUUUCACUAAUAAAUAUUUAAUUUCACAAUAAUCACAAUUUUCUAUCAAUUUCAUCACACUUUCAACUACAUAUAUUUUCCAAUAUAACAAAUAUUUAUUAUUCAAUUUUCACAUCAAUAUUCAUUUCAAUUCAAACAUUCAUAUAUAUAUAUUCAUAAAUCAAUUCAAUAUAAUCAAUAUUCAAUCCAAUUCAAAUAAUCAUCUCAAAACACCUACUACAUAUAUAUUAAAUAAUAAAUCCAACAAUUUAAGUAUUAAAUUCGGAUUAUAGAAAUACAAACCGUAGUUUCUAAGCUAACUCCCGUUGACUUUGUCUUGUCCUUUCUUAGCCGAGAUUUCCGGUACCACAUUGACUACGAAAGUAAUACAAUUCAUAAUCAUUAAUACAUUACUAAUUUAUAUCUUGAGUUACAGAAUUCUAAAUUAAGAUCCACUAAUUUCUCCUGAAACUAGACUCACAAAUCUUCUUACCAUAAAAUUUUCAGAAUUUUUCGUUUAGCCAUUAAGUACAAUUUAUUCUUUAAAUUCACCCCUAUUCUGCUGUCUGACAGUUUCAACCCUUCUUCACUAAAAGUUAAUUAUCUCACAGUACAGAACUCGGAUAAUAUUCCCGUUGAUUUCUCCUGAAAAUAGACUCAUUAUGGAUUAUAAACAUGUAACUUUAAGCCUCUAAUUAUUUUUCUUCAAUUUUUUGUGAUUUUCCAAACUUAGAACAGGGGAACCCGAAUUCAUUCUGACCUUGUCUCACAAAAUUCAUUAUAUCUCAUAAUUUACAAUUCACUUGCUUAUACCGUUUCUUCUAUAAGAAACUAGACUCAAUAAGCUUUAAUUCCAUAUUUUAUUCAUCCUCUAAUUAAAUUUCUAAAAUUUUUGGUGAUUUUUCAAACUUAGACUACUGCUGCUGUCCAAAAUAGUCUUAGUGCAAAAUGUUGAUUUUCUACUUUUAAUUUCAAUUUAAUCCUAACUAAAUUCACUUACUUUUCUAUCUUAAUUCAUACUUUAUUUCUACUCAAUUUUUAACCAAAAUUAGACAUAAUUAUCUAUUUUUCAUCAUAAAACCAUAAUUUCAAAAUUCUUUCAAUUUAGUCCUUAAAGCAUAAAACUUAUGAAUCACUUUACAAUUCAAUCCUUAUUUCAUUUCUAACUUGAAUUUCUAUCAAUUUAGCCCUUAAUUCAUCAUUUUACUCAACAUGAACAUUAUCUAGAAAUCUAAUAACUUUCAAAAUAUCAACUUAAUUUCAUCAAAAUCUUGUUCCAAAGCUUCUAAAACAUCAAAAUUAAGUAUAAAGGGCUAAAUUGACUUACCAAUUAAACUUUCAAACCUUGAAAUCUAAAAUUUCCCUUUUCUCCCUUUCUUUCUUUUCUUUCCUUCCUUGCUCUCUGUUUCGUUUCAUUCUGUUUCUUUUCUAUCUCUUUUUUU
rnacentral:lncRNA from 1 species